AUUGAACGCUGGCGGCAGGCCUAACACAUGCAAGUCGAACGGUAACAGGAAGAAGCUUGCUUCUUUGCUGACGAGUGGCGGACGGGUGAGUAAUGUCUGGGAAACUGCCUGAUGGAGGGGGAUAACUACUGGAAACGGUAGCUAAUACCGCAUAACGUCGCAAGACCAAAGAGGGGGACCUUCGGGCCUCUUGCCAUCGGAUGUGCCCAGAUGGGAUUAGCUAGUAGGUGGGGUAACGGCUCACCUAGGCGACGAUCCCUAGCUGGUCUGAGAGGAUGACCAGCCACACGGGAACUGAGACACGGUCCAGACUCCUACGGGAGGCAGCAGUGGGGAAUAUUGCACAAUGGGCGCAAGCCUGAUGCAGCCAUGCCGCGUGUAUGAAGAAGGCCUUCGGGUUGUAAAGUACUUUCGGCGGGGAGGAAGGGAGUAAAGUUAAUACCUUGCCUCAUUGACGUUACCCGCAGAAGAAGCACCGGCUAACUCCGUG
rnacentral:rRNA from 1 species